rnacentral:rRNA from 1 species
UACGAAGGGGGCUAGCGUUGCUCGGAAUCACUGGGCGUAAAGCGCACGUAGGCGGGUCUUUAAGUCAGGGGUGAAAUCCCGGAGCUCAACUCCGGAACUGCCUUUGAUACUGGAGAUCUUGAGUCCGGGAGAGGUGAGUGGAACUCCGAGUGUAGAGGUGAAAUUCGUAGAUAUUCGCAAGAACACCAGUGGCGAAGGCGGCUCACUGGCCCGAUACUGACGCUGAGGUGCGAAAGCGUGGGGAGCAAACAGG